rnacentral:rRNA from 1 species
GACAGAGGAUGCAAGCGUUAUCCGGAAUGAUUGGGCGUAAAGCGUCUGUAGGUGGCUUUUUAAGUCCGCCGUCAAAUCCCAGGGCUCAACCCUGGACAGGCGGUGGAAACUACCAAGCUGAAGUACGGUAGGGGCAGAGGGAAUUUCCGGUGGAGCGGUGAAAUGCGUAGAUAUCGGGAGGAACACCAGUGGCGAAGGCGGCGACCUGGGCCAAUAUUGACGCUGAGGUGCGAAAGCGUGGGGAGCAAACAGG